AGUGAACGCUGGCGGUAGGCCUAACACAUGCAAGUCGAACGGCAGCACAGUAAGAGCUUGCUCUUACGGGUGGCGAGUGGCGGACGGGUGAGGAAUACAUCGGAAUCUACUUUUUCGUGGGGGAUAACGCAGGGAAACUUACGCUAAUACCGCAUACGACCUACGGGUGAAAGCAUGGGAUCUUCGGACCUUGCGCGAUUGAAUGAGCCGAUGUCGGAUUAGCUAGUUGGCGGGGUAAAGGCCCACCAAGGCGACGAUCCGUAGCUGGUCUGAGAGGAUGAUCAGCCACACUGGAACUGAGACACGGUCCAGACUCCUACGGGAGGCAGCAGUGGGGAAUAUUGGACAAUGGGCGCAAGCCUGAUCCAGCCAUACCGCGUGGGUGAAGAAGGCCUUCGGGUUGUAAAGCCCUUUUGUUGGGAAAGAAAAGCAGCAGGUUAAUACCCCGCUGUUCUGACGGUACCCAAAGAAUAAGCACCGGCUAACUUCGUG
rnacentral:rRNA from 1 species